UUGAAGUGACCCUUUGAAAUAAAAAGGUUCCUCACCCCUGCUUUUGAGGAAAAACAUCAAUGUGCUUGGCCACUCUGGUUUUUAAAUUAUUCUGAACUAAAGCAAGGAUUGUUCAAGGAAGUUCAAAACAGACUGUCUCUGGUUAAAUUAGUUCUACACCAAGCCUUUAGGUGGCAGUACAACUAAUUCGCACAAUGCGAAUUCCACACACAAGCCACAAAGAAGCCAUCUACCGCGGUCAACAACACCGACCUAUCUGAACAGAACCACGCGCUGUCUGUGUGGUUUCACUGUUACAAGUUUCUUGGCGACAUGGGGGAAAGUUCCUCACAUACCAACGGAAAAUGGGCUUCACAUACAUGCUGCUGUCUCAUAAUAUGGCGAAGACGAGUCACUUGAAGGCCUAACAGCUCUUAUGAGGAGCAGUCUUGCCAUAGAAGACUGAAAGAAUGAGCUGUAGAAACAACAGGGUGCCUGCUGCAGUAUGACGAGGACGCCCUGAUCAUAGAAGGUCCAGUGUCUUGGCAGGGUGAAAUGGCACUGAUAUCGGUAUGUGGUGAUAUCAGUUAAAAUUAAUGAAUUAAUUCUCAUAUCUGAAUAAUGUGAACACUGGAUUUACCACACACUCACACACACCCUAGUCCUAGAUUAUACAACCAAGGUUACUUUUACCACAGCUCUGGCACUGCAUCAAAUUUCUUUUCUUUUUUAUAGAACUGGACAGGUCAUUUAUUCGUUCCCCUUGUUUUUUGCAGUGUCCUGCAGGAUGCUGUGUCCUGCAAUCCUGUGUGCUGUGCUACAGACGCGUGUGGAGGUCAACCCGAAAUGGGCACAGUAGAGUGAAAGAGGGUAAGCUUAACCUAUAGCCUACGUCAGGGUUGGGGAACCUUUCUCAUUCGAAUGGCCACUUCAAAUUCAUCCGAGGGGCCAUAAAAGUCCUCCAAGGGCCGUACUAUGAACACAAACCAGGAUUUUCCCUUUCACUUUAGGCCUAUAUUGAAGGCAGCCACAUUUAAACAAACGCCAACUUCUUCAGGUUCCCUGAAUAUAACUUAAUUGUAUUGCUAAUGUAUUUUCUAAGAUUCCUUUACAAAAUAUGUCAUAUUUCAUGUGAAGAUGGAAUUGCAUUAAAAUUAUAUCGGGGGCCGGAUAAAACAGCCUCAAGGGUCGCAAACGGCCCUAGAGACAUAGGUUCCCCACCCCUGUCCUACAUUGUCAAUAUGACUUGUGCUACUUUAUAGAUAAGUUGUCAAUGCUGUGCAUUGCUAUGUUUUGAUUUAUUUUCUUACAUCCUACAGAUCCUGGCAGGGAGACGGUAGUGUCCUGCAGGAUGGUGAUGGGCAAUCUUACAAGAGACCACAG